UCCGCUGCGGCCGCCGCAGCUUCCACCUGCAGAAGUGCACUUGCUCCUCGUGCGGCUACCCCGCCGCCCGCAUCCGCAAGUAUGCACUUCCUUGCAUCAUUCCAGAAAGCACAGGAGGAGAAGCUAUUCUUCCUCAGAAUCUGAUAGUGAAUCAGAGAGCGACAGUGAUCGUAAACACAGGAAGAGGAAGGACCGCAAAAGGCACAGGAAACAUGGCCACUCUGAAUCUGAUGGUGCCAGGAGGCGCAAGCAUAGGUCAAAGAGGAGGUAUUCAGACUCUAGUGAUGAGAGUGACAGCGAUAACUACAAUAGUGAAUCUGAAGAAAAUAUACAUUGUAUUGUAUAUGCUACUGAAAUAAAAUAUACAUUUUAUUUGCAA